rnacentral:rRNA from 1 species
CAGUAGCCACGGGAAUACGGAGGGGGCUAGCGUUGUUCGGAAUUACUGGGCGUAAAGCGCACGUAGGCGGCUUUUUAAGUCAGAGGUGAAAGCCCGGGGCUCAACUCCGGAACUGCCUUUGAGACUGGAAGGCUUGAACGUCGGAGAGGUGAGUGGAAUUCCGAGUGUAGAGGUGAAAUUCGUAGAUAUUCGGAAGAACACCAGUGGCGAAGGCGGCUCACUGGACGACUGUUGACGCUGAGGUGCGAAAGCGUGGGGAGCAAACAGGAUUAGAUACCCCUGUAGUCCCUGUCUCUUAUAC